UCAAGCGAAGAAGAGCACACGGCGGAUGCCUAGGCGCUAAGAGGCGAAGAAGGGCGUGGUAAGCUGCGAAAAGCUACGGGUAGCCGCAAGCAGGCAACGAUCCGUAGAUACCCGAAUGGGGCAACCCUACGGGAGUAAUAUCCCGUAACCCUAUGCUGAAUAAAAUAGGCAUAGCGGAGCGAACCUGGGGAACUGAAACAUCUAAGUACCCAGAGGAAGAGAAAGAAACAUCGAUUCCCCCAGUAGCGGCGAGCGAAGAGGGAAGAGCCCAAACCAAGAGCAUAUGCUUUUGGGGUUGAGGACUCUCACUAAAGGGAAGAGCAAAGCUAGUCGAAGCGAGCUGGAAAGCUCCACCAAAGGAAGUAACAGUCUUGUAGACGAAAGUGAGGCGAACCCGAGAGAGAUCCAGAGUACCACGGGACACGAGGAACCCCGUGGGAAGCAGGGAGGACCACCUCCCAAGGCUAAAUACUCCUUAGCGACCGAUAGUGAACAAGUACCGUGAGGGAAAGGUGAAAAGCACCCCGGGAGGGGAGUGAAAUAGAACCUGAAACCGUGUGCUUACAAACAGUGGGAGCAGAAAUGUGACCGCGUACUUUUUGUAGAACGGACCGGCGAGUUACGAUAGCAAGCGAGGUUAAGGGGGAGACCCGGAGCCGUAGCGAAAGCGAGUCUUAAGAGGGCGUUAGUUUGUUAUCGUAGACCCGAAACUGAGUGAUCUACCCAUGUGCAGGGUGAAGCGGAAGUAAAGCUCCGUGGAGGCCCGAACCGACCAACGUUGAAAAGUUGGCGGAUGACGUGUGGGUAGGGGUGAAAAGCCAAUCGAACUCAGAGAUAGCUGGUUCUCCCCGAAAUAGCUUUAGGGCUAGCCUUGGGGAAAGAUUUAUGGAGGUAGAGCACUGAAUAGGCUAGGGGCUUAAACCAAGUUACUGAACCUUCUCAAACUCCGAAUGCCAUAAAUCAUCCCCGGGAGUCAGACUAUGGGUGAUAAGAUUCAUAGUCGAGAGGGAAACAGCCCAGACCAACAGCUAAGGUCCCCAAGUGUGAACUAAGUGGAAAAGGAUGUAGAGAUGCCCAGACAACCAGGAUGUUGGCUUAGAAGCAGCCACCAUUUAAAGAGUGCGUAAUAGCUCACUGGUCGAGUGGCUCUGCGCCGAAAAUGUAACGGGGCUCAAGUUCACCACCGAAGCUUUGGCAAGGAAGUAGAUUACCAAUGCUUAUGAAAAGUAUCCAAAGGAAGAAAGAGUUACAUUUAAUUUCGUAAAUCAACAGAAAAAAGACCCGAAAGAGAAGCAAGAGGGAUAAAGAUUUACGAACAAAUGUCUCAGAGGGGAUCAAGUAUAAGCAUAGGUAUUGGCAAUCUACUUCCUUGGGUAGGGGAGCGUUCUAUUUGCGUAGAAGUCGUACUGAAAGGUACGGUGGAGCGGAUAGAAGUGAGAAUGCCGGUAUGAGUAAGCGAGAAAAGAGGUGAGAAUCCUCUUCGCCGUAAACCUAAGGAUUCCUGGGGAAGGCUCGUCCGCCCAGGGUAAGCCGGGACCUAAGCCGAGGCCGAAAGGCGUAGGCGAUGGACAAUUGGUUGAGAAUCCAAUGCCACCCAAUAGCCGUUUGAGGAAGGGAUGACACAGGAGGGUAGGUUAAGCGCACCGUUGGUAGAGUGCGUCCAAGCCCGUAGGGCGUAAGACAGGCAAAUCCGUCUUACACGAGGCCUGAGAGGUGAUGGGGAGUGAAAAUAAAGUAACGAACUAACCGAUCCCACACUGUCGAGAAAAGUCUCUAACGAGGAGAUUGGGUGCCCGUACCGUAAACCGACACAGGUAGGUAAGGAGAGAAUCCUAAGGCGCGCGAGAGAACCUUCGUUAAGGAACUCGGCAAAAUGACCCCGUAACUUCGGGAUAAGGGGUACCUCAUUAUCGUGAGUAGAUUUACUUUAUGAGCGAGAAGAGGUCGCAGAGAAUUGGCCCAGGCGACUGUUUAUCAAAAACACAGGUGCCUGCUAAAUCGAGAAGAUGAAGUAUAGGUGCUGACGCCUGCCCGGUGCUGGAAGGUUAAGGGGAAAGGUCAUCGAAAGAGAAGCUUUGAACCGAAGCCCCAGUAAACGGCGGCCGUAACUAUAACGGUCCUAAGGUAGCGAAAUUCCUUGUCGGGUAAGUUCCGACCCGCACGAAAGGCGUAACGAUCUGGGCACUGUCUCAACGAAGGGCUCGGUGAAAUUGUACUACCGGUAAAGAUGCCGGUUACCUGCGACAGGACAGAAAGACCCCGUGGAGCUUUACUGUAGCCUGACAUUGGGUUUUGGUGCGUCAUGUACAGGAUAGGUGGGAGACUUGGAAGCGAGGACGCCAGUUUUCGUGGAGUCGACGUUGGGAUACCACUCUUGAAGUACUAGAAUUCUAACCAGAGGCCGUAAACCGGUCUUGGGACAUUGUCAGGUGGGCAGUUUGACUGGGGCGGUCGCCUCCCAAAGAGUAACGGAGGCGCCCAAAGGUUCGUUCAGGAUGGUUGGAAAUCAUCCGUAGAGUGUAAAGGCAUAAACGAACUUGACUGUGAGAGAGACACCUCGAACAGGGUCGAAAGACGGGCUUAGUGAUCCGGCGGUACCGAGUGGAAGGGCCGUCGCUCAACGGAUAAAAGCUACCCCGGGGAUAACAGGCUUAUCUCCCCCAAGAGUCCACAUCGACGGGGAGGUUUGGCACCUCGAUGUCGGCUCAUCGCAUCCUGGGGCUGAAGUAGGUCCCAAGGGUUUGGCUGUUCGCCAAUUAAAGCGGUACGCGAGCUGGGUUCAGAACGUCGUGAGACAGUUCGGUCCCUAUCUGUCGUGGGCGCAGGAGAAUUGAGGAGAGCUGUCCCUAGUACGAGAGGACCGGGAUGGACAGACCUCUGGUGUACCAGUUGUCGAGCCAUCGGCACAGCUGGGUAGCUAUGUCUGGACGGGAUAAGCGCUGAAAGCAUCUAAGCGUGAAGCCUCCUCCAAGAUAAGUUCUCCCACCCGGUGCUUUUAGUGCCGGGGUAAGACCCCAGAGAGAAGAUCUGGUAGAUAGGCCGGAGGUGUAAGGGCAGCAAUGUCUUCAGCUGACCGGUACUAAUAGGUCGAGGACUUGACCU
rnacentral:rRNA from 1 species